rnacentral:rRNA from 1 species
UACGUAGGGGGCAAGCGUUGUCCGGAAUCAUUGGGCGUAAAGAGCGUGUAGGCGGCCAGAAAAGUCCGCUGUGAAAACUCGAGGCUCAACUUCGAGCUGUCGGUGGAAACUUUCUGGCUAGAGUCCGGAAGAGGAGAAUGGAAUUCCUGGUGUAGCGGUGAAAUGCGCAGAUAUCAGGAGGAACACCAAUUGCGAAGGCAGCUCGCUGGGACGUAACUGACGCUGAGACGCGAAAGCGUGGGGAGCAAACAGG